rnacentral:rRNA from 1 species
AGUGGCGCACGGGUGCGUAACGCGUAGAUAAUCUACCUUCCAGUGGGGGAUAACUAGGGGAAACUCUAGCUAAUACCGCAUGAGACCACGGUGUCUUCGGGCGCUGAGGGAAAAGACCGCCUCUGCAUAUGCGGUCGCUGGGAGAUGAGUCUGCGUCCCAUCAGCUAGUUGGUGAGGUAAUGGCUCACCAAGGCUAAGACGGGUAGCUGGUCUGAGAGGAUGAUCAGCCACACUGGCACUGGAACACGGGCCAGACUCCUACGGGAGGCAGCAGUGGGGAAUAUUGGGCAAUGGGCGCAAGCCUGACCCAGCCACGCCGCGUGAGCGAUGAAGGCCUUCGGGUUGUAAAGCUCUGUGGGAAGGGGCGAAAAACCGGCAGCUAAUAAUUGUCGGGUUGACGGUACCUUCUUAGCAAGCACCGGCUAACUCUGUGCCAGCAGCCGCGGUAAGACAGAGGGUGCAAACGUUGCUCGGAUUUACUGGGCGUAAAGCGCGUGUAGGCGGGAAGAUAAGUCGGGUGUGAAAUCCCUGGGCUCAACCUAGGAACUGCAUCCGAAACUGUCUUUCUGGAGUGGUGGAGAGGAGAGCGGAAUUCCCGGUGUAGAGGUGAAAUUCGUAGAUAUCGGGAGGAACAUCGGUGGCGAAGGCGGCUCUCUGGACACUUACUGACGCUGGGACGCGAAAGCGUGGGGAGCAAACA